GCCCUCCAGAUGGCCCUGAACUACAGUGCCCAUCGUCCGGUGGGAGCUAUGGUUUAUGGGAGCUGUAGUUCAUGGGUGGUUGGAAGGCCCCUCUCCAUUAGCAGGCAGUCAGCCUCCUCUUCCCCCUCACCAGAACAUUGGGGGGGGGGGGCACCCGUGCCCUCGGACCAGGGAAAUGGGUCUCAGGAUUAGUGCACAAGGAGCAACGAUGCAAGCAACUCCCCGCAGAUGCCUUAGGAAAGGCUAAUGGAGCCAUGGGCAGAAUUUGUGAGCAUCCUGGGAUCCUUUCGGUUUGUGGCCACCGAGCUGAAGAUCUUUCAAAAGGUCACUGCUGCAAACCCCAAGGAGCAACUGGCCUUUCUUGGAUGCCUUGGGCACUCUGGACCUCAACCUGGAAAAUGGGCAUAUUGUGGAGGAGGUGUUCNUCCCCUGCUCCUACGCAAAGGAUGCUGGAACUUCCGCGGGCAUUGACUGAAAGCGUAAUUGAGUAAACACUUUUCUAAUCUCNGGGAAAUNCAAGGCGUCNNAGGGGAGUAUUACAAUUCGCAAAUAGUUCAUACCCACUGGCCGAAGGCAAGGAUUGCAAAAGCUGAGUAUCGAAAUAUGAGCGAUGGCUUUAAGAUCUGCUCUUGUGGUCUGUUUCCUUUGCCCGUAGUAACUUCAGGGAAGAGAUUCUGGCUGUUUCUGCUCUGACCCAGAAUGCCUCACUCUUGGAUGGNUGUUGCUGGAGAGCUCUUUUGCCAGUGCCAAAGCCUGUGGGAUCUUUGAAGCCAUCUGCUGGGGGGGGGGGAAACCAUUUUGGCAGUGCAAUUUUGUGUGCUGUUGAAAUGGGUCCCCUCCCACGUGCCUUUCUGUUCCCUUCUAUAGGUCCCAGGAACACUGGUAGACUUGGAUCGCUAAUAUCCCAGACUAGGUGGCCAUUUUGGCCACCUAGACCAGUCUAUAAUCUAUCCAAUAGGAACACAGUGUGCUAGCAGAGAGUGGGUCCUCUUCCAUUCUACUCCAGGGUACAGAACAAGAGACUCAAAAAGGUCCAGGUCUUGCACUGAACCAGUAUAUGGACCAGUGCUGAACAACCAUACUGCCAAGGAGAGCUGCCAGGUCCGGUUGGCAUCCAAGCUAGGCCCAUGGGCUGGAACAAGGCCAUCUGCAUUGGCACGGCCUGCUCAGAGUGUGCCACNCUGAAGCUCACGCCAGCUUCAGGGCCAGUGUGGGGUAUCUUCAAAUACUCUGAAAACCAGGAAUGAAAGUUCUUGACUUAGGAGCUCCUGGGGGGACCCAUUUUGACAGCCCACCUUUGUUGCAAAAUGUCCUGCGAUCACCCAAAAAACUUCACUUACUUAUGCAGAGUUUGCAAAUGUCUCCAGUAUCUUUCUAGCAGCAACAGCAAAAAGAGCCACAUUGUAAGAUGUCUGCUCAUUAAGGACACUUAACAGAAAAAUAAUGAUACCUUGGGCCUUUUCCCACCUUCCACCAUGGAAGGUUCGGAAG
rnacentral:lncRNA from 1 species